UACGUAGGGGGCGAGCGUUGUCCGGAAUCACUGGGCGUAAAGGGUUCGCAGGCGGUCUACCAAGUCCGAUGUGAAAGGCAUGGGCUCAACCCAUGUAAGCAUUGGAAACUGGUAGACUUGAGUUAAGGAGAGGUAAGUGGAAUUCCUAGUGUAGCGGUGAAAUGCGUAGAUAUUAGGAAGAAUACCGGUGGCGAAGGCGACUUACUGGACUUAAACUGACGCUGAGGAACGAAAGCGUGGGGAGCAAACAGG
rnacentral:rRNA from 1 species